rnacentral:rRNA from 1 species
AAAUUGAAGAGUUUGAUCAUGGCUCAGAUUGAACGCUGGCGGCAGGCCUAACACAUGCAAGUCGAACGGUAACAGGAAGCAGCUUGCUGCUUUGCUGACGAGUGGCGGACGGGUGAGUAAUGUCUGGGAAACUGCCUGAUGGAGGGGGAUAACUACUGGAAACGGUGGCUAAUACCGCAUAAUGUCGCAAGACCAAAGAGGGGGACCUUCGGGCCUCUUGCCAUCAGAUGUGCCCAGAUGGGAUUAGCUUGUUGGUGAGGUAACGGCUCACCAAGGCGACGAUCCCUAGCUGGUCUGAGAGGAUGACCAGCCACACUGGAACUGAGACACGGUCCAGACUCCUACGGGAGGCAGCAGUGGGGAAUAUUGCACAAUGGGCGCAAGCCUGAUGCAGCCAUGCCGCGUGUAUGAAGAAGGCCUUCGGGUUGUAAAGUACUUUCAGCGGGGAGGAAGGUGUUGUGGUUAAUAACCGCAGCAAUUGACGUUACCCGCAGAAGAAGCACCGGCUAACUCCGUGCCAGCAGCCGCGGUAAUACGGAGGGUGCAAGCGUUAAUCGGAAUUACUGGGCGUAAAGCGCACGCAGGCGGUCUGUCAAGUCGGAUGUGAAAUCCCCGGGCUCAACCUGGGAACUGCAUUCGAAACUGGCAGGCUUGAGUCUUGUAGAGGGGGGUAGAAUUCCAGGUGUAGCGGUGAAAUGCGUAGAGAUCUGGAGGAAUACCGGUGGCGAAGGCGGCCCCCUGGACAAAGACUGACGCUCAGGUGCGAAAGCGUGGGGAGCAAACAGGAUUAGAUACCCUGGUAGUCCACGCCGUAAACGAUGUCUACUUGGAGGUUGUGCCCUUGAGGCGUGGCUUCCGGAGCUAACGCGUUAAGUAGACCGCCUGGGGAGUACGGCCGCAAGGUUAAAACUCAAAUGAAUUGACGGGGGCCCGCACAAGCGGUGGAGCAUGUGGUUUAAUUCGAUGCAACGCGAAGAACCUUACCUGGUCUUGACAUCCACGGAAGUUUUCAGAGAUGAGAAUGUGCCUUCGGGAACCGUGAGACAGGUGCUGCAUGGCUGUCGUCAGCUCGUGUUGUGAAAUGUUGGGUUAAGUCCCGCAACGAGCGCAACCCUUAUCCUUUGUUGCCAGCGGUCCGGCCGGGAACUCAAAGGAGACUGCCAGUGAUAAACUGGAGGAAGGUGGGGAUGACGUCAAGUCAUCAUGGCCCUUACGACCAGGGCUACACACGUGCUACAAUGGCGCAUACAAAGAGAAGCGACCUCGCGAGAGCAAGCGGACCUCAUAAAGUGCGUCGUAGUCCGGAUUGGAGUCUGCAACUCGACUCCAUGAAGUCGGAAUCGCUAGUAAUCGUGGAUCAGAAUGCCACGGUGAAUACGUUCCCGGGCCUUGUACACACCGCCCGUCACACCAUGGGAGUGGGUUGCAAAAGAAGUAGGUAGCUUAACCUUCGGGAGGGCGCUUACCACUUUGUGAUUCAUGACUGGGGUGAAGUCGUAACAAGGUAACCGUAGGGGAACCUGCGGUUGGA